CUCCCUCUCCCUCUCCCCAAAACCGAGCAACCUUUGAGCUCUCUUCUUCUCUCAACUUGAGAGUCUCAAGCAGCCACCACACCACCCAACCAACGUGAGCCAUCCCAACAACCUCCCCCCUCUGUCUCCUUCCCUCGCCGAUCGAUCCCGCCGAAUCCCUUACCUUCUCCUAUGACUUUUCCUCCUCCACUGAAUUUGGGUUCUAUGAGGGAAGCUCAUCGAGCUCGUCUAUUGGUUGGGGGGGAGGGGGGGAGGGGGGUGGUCUCAUACUAUUUUUAUUAUUUAUUUAUUUAUUGGUACCGAU
rnacentral:lncRNA from 1 species